CAUGUAAGGAAUAAGGGACGCCAAGAGUUGGCGGCCCUUUAGAAUUUUGUGGCGCCCCUUCAUUUCUUAUAUAAGGGGUGCCCCAUAUGGAUAAUUCCUUGGUGAUUUUCGCAUGAGAAUGAGAAGAAAAAGACAAGAAAAAGUAUGAAAAAAGAUAAGAAAAAAGGGAGAAAAAAAUAGGAAGGAAGGGAAGAGGAAAAAGGAAAGCAUGUAGUGCUUGUCCUAAAAAUCAGAUUGUUCAAGUGUUGAACAUCUAAUUUGAUUUUGUGUGGUGAGAUCAUUUGAAAAAUGAUUCCUAGAAUGGUCCUAGUAG
rnacentral:lncRNA from 1 species